rnacentral:rRNA from 1 species
GAUGAACGCUGGCGGCGUGCUUAACACAUGCAAGUCGAACGGGGAACAUUUUAAAGAAGCUUCGGCAGAUUUAGUUUGUUCCUAGUGGCGGACGGGUGAGUAACGCGUGGGUAACCUGCCUCACACUGGGGGAUAACAGUCAGAAAUGACUGCUAAUACCGCAUAAGCGCACAGAGCUGCAUGGCUCAGUGUGAAAAACUCCGGUGGUGUGAGAUGGACCCGCGUUGGAUUAGCCAGUUGGCAGGGUAACGGCCUACCAAAGCGACGAUCCAUAGCCGGCCUGAGAGGGUGGACGGCCACAUUGGGACUGAGACACGGCCCAGACUCCUACGGGAGGCAGCAGUGGGGAAUAUUGCACAAUGGGGGAAACCCUGAUGCAGCGACGCCGCGUGAAGGAAGAAGUAUCUCGGU